GAGGGUAUAGAUCAAUGGCAGAGUGUAUGCCUAGCAUGCACAAGGUGCUGGGUUCAAUCUCCAGUACCUCCA
rnacentral:tRNA from 1 species